rnacentral:rRNA from 1 species
GACGAACGCUGGCGGCGUGCUUAACACAUGCAAGUCGAACGGUAAGGCCCUUCGGGGUACACGAGUGGCGAACGGGUGAGUAACACGUGGGUGAUCUGCCCUGCACUUCGGGAUAAGCCUGGGAAACUGGGUCUAAUACCGGAUAGGACUCCUGGCUUCAUGGUUGGGGGUGGAAAGCUUUUGCGGUGUGGGAUGGGCCGGCGGCCUAUCAGCUUGUUGGUGGGGUAAUGGCCUACCAAGGCGACGACGGGUAGCCGGCCUGAGAGGGUGACCGGUCACACUGGGACUGAGAUACGGCCCAGACGCCUACGGGAGGCAGCAGUGGGGAAUAUUGCACAAUGGGCGCAAGCCUGAUGCAGCGACGCCGCGUGAGGGAUGACGGCCUUCGGGUUGUAAACCUCUUUCAGCUAUGACGAAGCGCAAGUGACGGUAGUAGCAGAAGAAGGACCGGCCAACUACGUGCCAGCAGCCGCCGUAA